rnacentral:tRNA from 1 species
CAGAGUGUAGUAUAAUACAGGAAAACGCUUCCCUUACACUGAAGAGAUGUUCGUGCAAACCGAAUCACCCUGAC